UGGGUUGCAGAUGGGUCUAGGUAGAUCCACAGCUGAAAACCCAAAAUCUGACCUGGUCAAGGUAGAUCUACACAAGAAAACCCAAAAUCUGACCUGGUUACACACAUAUCUACAAACACGCAGGCACACAUGCACACACGUGUGUGCAGUCCAUGUGAAUGAUUUCACAUCUAGGGGUGUCAAUGGAGGCCAAUAACCUACUAAACCAACCCAAAACAUGAACUGGGUAUGUAUUCUGAAAUCAGACCGGA
rnacentral:lncRNA from 1 species